AAAGUUACAAAACUCAAAGUCCACUUCAGAAGGAGAUAUUUCAUUUAACAGAAAUCACUUUUCAAAAACUACAACAAACGACUUGUUUGGACUACAACACAUA